rnacentral:lncRNA from 1 species
CUAUUUCUCUUGUUUUGUACCUUCUUUAACAAAAUUAAGAUUUUACUAGUCCAAACCAGUUUUAUAACAUUGAAUCAGGCUUUAACUAGUUAAUGAUUUCUCCGGUUCAUAUAAUAUUGGACACGCUACCGGUUCUUGAUUUUGUUUUUCCAUACAUCUAAUAACUAAUUUAGAGGUGUAAAUUUGAGAUACGUAUAUACCUUGUAAAUGCCCAAAUUUGACCGGGCUGAACGAGCCCAAAUCACCAAAAACCAAAAUCCAAAAACAAAUAAACAGUCCAUUUUACACAGCCCAAAAUCCAAACCCAUUAACAAACCCAAUUUACAACGGGGCCCAAUGACCCAAAACCUAAACUAAAUUUUAGUAAAUUAGAAAACCCUAGGUCCCUAGGUCCCUAUGCCCCGUUGCCCAUGUGCGAUGUACUAGCAGCCUCCGCACCUUCCGCUUAACCCACGUGCCUUGUCGGCGCAUCCAACGCCCAAGGACUGACCUCUGCCCUAUCCCAUCACUUCCAUCAGCGCCUGCAAAUAGCAACAGAGUACGAGCAGAAACAACAAGCAGUAACAAAGAAAAGCAAAACAUUUUUGUAACACUUUCGGCUACAAAAGCACGAAAGACUAAUGUAUUUGGGGGGAUUUUUCAUUCUUUUUGAUAUUAAUAAAAAAAAACCAAGAGUUUCAAAAGGUGGUUGUUUUUGUCCUUUUAUUUUUUAUUUUGAUAAAAGAAAAAUAAAUAAGUAAAUAAAACUUACCGUCAGUCCGUCUUCCAUCACCGCUGAGAAAAGCUCCGCUUACCGAACGUCUUAGAAUCCAUUGGAGUUUUGACGAAAGCUCGGAGAAAAGCUCUGCAAAGACGAAGACCUCCCUUCGUGGUCAAUUUCUUUUUUUUUUUUCUCUCUUGCAUCUUGUUUAUUUUAGACCCUAGAUCUAGGUUUUCAAAAGUGUUUGUUCCUUUUAAAAAAUGGAGGAGAUUAGAAAGGAAAAAAAAAGAUUUCGGGCACUCUGGCCAUCGUCUACGGCGGGGCCACGGCAGAGGGCCAUCGGACCCCUUGGCCGGCCCAAAAUCCCUUUCAAAGAAAAAAAGAGAAAAGCAAAUUUUUUUUAAAACAAAGAAGUUAAAUGAUUUUUUGUCAAAAAAAAUCAAAUUAUAUAGCUUGUAAAAUGGCACCGUUUCGUGCCUUGGCUCCAGACGCUAAACAGCGUCGUUUUGAAGCAAAACGGGCCGACCCGACCCGACCCGCUUCCUCAGGAUCCGCGUGUUUUGAACAAAUGGUCUAAUUUCGUAGAAGGCCCUUUCGCUUUUAUAGCACCCUUCAAUUUAGUCCUUUUUUUAUUUUAUUUUCUUUCCUUUUAAUUUUUUCGCAUAAUUUUAUUCGUAUUUCAUUUUGGUCCUCCACAGAACGGUUUGUUUAGAGGACCUAGGAUAAUUUCUUGAUCGACUCCCCCUCCUUUGGUGUGCGUUUUGUUUAAGUCAUUAUUUAGGUUUUAUUAUUUAUUUUAUUACAAUUUAUACCUUUACUUUCGUUUGAGUUUCAAUUCAGUCUUUUACUUGAUUAAUUUCACAUUUUAUAUUUGUUUCAAUCAUUAAUGUAUUAUUCAUUUUAAAAGGAAGUACCAAACUUAAUAUACAUAUUAUAUUUAUUUGUUUAUUA